AAGAUGAUACUUUCAGGGGUCAUUUCUAUAGUUUGUUACUAGAAGGCCUGCAGGCUAGACAUGAACAGACAGAAGCAGGACAAUGACUUGAAAAGUCCAGCGUUUUUGUUUUCUAACUUUUAUAUAAGGCAAAUGCAAGCCAAUCUAUUUAGAACACACUGUCUGCAGGAAUUGUUCGCACUGCU
rfam:Myotis brandtii contig269432, whole genome shotgun sequence.